rnacentral:rRNA from 1 species
CCUACGGGUGGCAGCAGUGGGGAAUAUUGGACAAUGGGCGAAAGCCUGAUCCAGCCAUGCCGCGUGUGUGAAGAAGGCCUUCGGGUUGUAAAGCACUUUCAGUGGGGAAGAAAGCCUUGGGGCUAAUACCCUCGAGGAAGGACAUCACCCACAGAAGAAGCACCGGCUAACUCCGUGCCAGCAGCCGCGGUAAUACGGAGGGUGCGAGCGUUAAUCGGAAUUACUGGGCGUAAAGCGCGCGUAGGCGGUCUGAUAAGCCGGUUGUGAAAGCCCCGGGCUCAACCUGGGAACGGCAUCCGGAACUGUCAGGCUAGAGUGCAGGAGAGGAAGGUAGAAUUCCCGGUGUAGCGGUGAAAUGCGUAGAGAUCGGGAGGAAUACCAGUGGCGAAGGCGGCCUUCUGGACUGACACUGACGCUGAGGUGCGAAAGCGUGGGUAGCAAACAGGAUUAGUUACCCCGGUAGUC